rnacentral:rRNA from 1 species
CCUACGGGUGGCAGCAGUGGGGGAUAUUGCACAAUGGGGGGAACCCUGAUGCAGCGACGCCGCGUGGGUGAAGGAGUGCUUCGGCAUGUAAAGCCCUAUCGGCAGGGAAGAAGCAAGACGGUACCUGACUAAGAAGCCCCGGCUAACUACGUGCCAGCAGCCGCGGUAAUACGUAGGGGGCGAGCGUUAUCCGGAUUCACUGGGGGUAACGGGAGCGUAGACGGCCAGGCUAGCCGGGGGUGAAAGCCCGGGGCACAACCCCGGGACUGCCCUUGAAACUGCAUGGCUGGAGUGGGGGAGGGGUAGGCGGAAUGCCUGGGGUAGCGGUGAAAUGCGUAGAUAUCAGGAGGAACACCGGCGGCGAAGGCGGCCUGCUGGACCGCGACUGACGUUGAGGCACGAAAGCGUGGGGAGCGAACAGGAUUAGAUACCCUUGUAGUC